rnacentral:rRNA from 1 species
AUUCCAGCUCCAGUAGCGUAUAUUAAUGUUGUUGCAGUUAAAAAGCUCGUAGUUGGAUUUCUGACUUGACGCGCCUGGCCCGCCUUGCAUUUCGCGGGUGAGUGCCGGAGCGCGUCGGUCAUCCUUCUAGAGAGCGGCGCUACCCUUCACUGGGUCGGCGUCGCAAUCUAGAUCUUUUACUUUGAAAAAAUUAGAGUGUUCAAGGCAGGCUCGCGCUGUGAAUACAUUAGCAUGGAAUAAUAAUCUAGGACUUUGUUCCUAUUUUGUUGGUUUCUAGGAAUUAAGUAAUGAUUGAUAGGGAUAGUUGGGGGUGCUAGUAUUCAGCGGCCAGAGGUGAAAUUCUUGGAUUCGCUGAAGACUAACUUAUGCGAAAGCAUUCACCAAGGAUGUCUUCAUUA